rnacentral:rRNA from 1 species
AUUGAACGCUGGCGGCAUGCCUUACACAUGCAAGUCGAACGGCAGCACGGGGCAACCUGGUGGCGAGUGGCGAACGGGUGAGUAAUGCAUCGGAACGCACCUUUCAGUGGGGGAUAACGUAGCGAAAGUUACGCUAAUACCGCAUAUUCUGUGAGCAGGAAAGCAGGGGAUCGCAAGACCUUGCGCUGAUUGAGCGGCCGAUGUCAGAUUAUCUAGGUGGUGAGGUAAGGGCUCACCAAGGCGACGAUCUGUAGCGGGUCUGAGAGGAUGAUCCGCCACACUGGAACUGAGACACGGUCCAGACUCCUACGGGAGGCAGCAGUGGGGAAUUUUGGACAAUGGGGGCAACCCUGAUCCAGCCAUGCCGCGUGAGUGAAGAAGGCCUUCGGGUUGUAAAGCUCUUUCGGCCGGGAAGAAAUCGCACGGGCUAAUACCCUGUGUGGAUGACGGUACCGGAAUAAGAAGCACCGGCUAACUACGUGCCAGCAGCCGCAGUAAUAC